rnacentral:rRNA from 1 species
GACGAACGCUGGCGGCGUGCCUAAUACAUGCAAGUAGAACGCUGAAGAGAGGAGCUUGCUCUUCUUGGAUGAGUUGCGAACGGGUGAGUAACGCGUAGGUAACCUGCCUUGUAGCGGGGGAUAACUAUUGGAAACGAUAGCUAAUACCGCAUAACAAUGGAUGACACAUGUCAUUUAUUUGAAAGGGGCAAUUGCUCCACUACAAGAUGGACCUGCGUUGUAUUAGCUAGUAGGUGAGGUAAUGGCUCACCUAGGCGACGAUACAUAGCCGACCUGAGAGGGUGAUCGGCCACACCGGGACUGGGACACGGCCCAGACUCCUACGGGAGGCAGCAGUAGGGAAUCUUCGGCAAUGGGGGCAACCCUGACCGAGCAACGCCGCGUGAGUGAAGGAGGUUUUCGGAUCGUAAAGCUCUGUUGUAAGUCAAGAACGGGUGUGAGAGUGGAAAGUGCACACUGUGACGGUAGCUUACCAGAAAGGGACGGCUAACUACGUG